CGAAGGUGGCAAGCGUUACUCAGAAUUACUAGGCGUAAAGGGCAGGUAGGUGGUUUGAUAAGUCUGUUGUGAAAGCUCCCGGCUUAACUGGGAGAGGUCAACAGAUACUAUCGGACUUGAGUAUAGGAGAGGUUACUGGAAUUCCCGGUGUAGCGGUGAAAUGCGCAGAGAUCGGGAGGAACACCAAUGGCGAAAGCAGGUAACUGGACUAUUACUGACACUCAGCUGCGAAAGCUAGGGGAGCAAACAGGAUUAGAUACCCUGGUAGUCCUAGCCGUAAACGAUGCACAUUAGACGUGAGGGGUAUCGACCCCCUUCGUGUCGACGCUAACGCAUUAAAUGUGCCGCCUGGGGAGUACGGCCGCAAGGUUG
rnacentral:rRNA from 1 species